UGGUUCAGUUUUUACAGCAGCUCAGCGGGACAGAGUCAGACUUUAGAUCUGGACUCAGAGACACAGACAUGUCUUCAUCAGGACUCUGCUGCUUCCUCCUCUUCCUCACCUUCUCCUCAGCAGAUGGGUUCCUGAACUAUCGUGUGGAUCGUUGUGAUUUUAACUCCAGUCGCCUGGAGGACAUCCAAUUCAUCCGUUCAAGGUACUUCAACAAGCUGGAGCUGUACAGGUUCGACAGCAGAGUGGGGAAGUUUGUUGGGUACACGGAGUACGGAAUGAAGCAGGCUGAGUACAGGAACAGCAAACCUGAGUACCUGGCCCAGAUGAGAGCUCAGAGGGAGGCCUACUGCCUGAACCACGUUGGUAUUUAUUACCAGCUCGUUCUGACUAAAUCAGUGAAGCCCACGGUGAGGCUGUUCUCCACCCAACCCUCCUCUGGUCACCAUGACUCCAUGUUGGUCUGCAGAGUCUUCAGCUUCUACCCCAAGAACAUCAAAGUCUCCUGGCUGAAGGACGGACACGUGGACACAUCUGAUGUCACCACUACUGAGGAGAUGCCAGAUGGGGACUGGUACUACCAGGUCCUGUCUCACCUGGAGUACACUCCCAGGUCUGGAGAGAAGAUCUCCUGUAUGGUGGAGCACGCCAGCCUGAAGGAACCUCUGAUCACCGACUGGGGUACUCACCUGUCUGUGAACCGUCCAUGCCUGAAUCAGAGAGGAACCAGAUCGCCAUCGGAGCUUCAGGGCUGAUCCUGGGUCUGAUCUUGUCUCUGGCUGGAUUCAUUUACUACAAGAGGAAGUCUAGAGGACGUAUUCUGGUUCCCAGUAACUGAUCCUGGUUCUGCUGCUGCUUCCUGUCUCCAGUGGUUCUGGUUCUGACCCGACUGCUCUAGAUCUGAACCAGAACUCUUGACUUUCUGCAGCUCUGAUCCUGGUCCAGGAGGUGGUUCUGGAGGACCUCCUGGACCAGGUCUGAUCUGGACUCUGCUGUUUAAUCACAUGAAGAUCAGCUGAUCUGAGACUUCCUCUUCUCUGAUUGGAUAAGAACCUGCAUCAGUCCUGGACCAGUGGGUGUGGCUGUCACUGGUUAUACUGGUCUGACUAGUUAUACUGGCUAUACUGGUUUUACUUGUCUGGUUGGUUAUACUGGUCUACCUGUUCAUGCUGGUCUGACUGGUCACCAGUUAAAACGAUUAAAGUUUGUCUUCUAUUCUAAUAAAA